AGUUAGCGGCGGACGGGUGAGUAACACGUGGGUAACCUGCCCAUAAGACUGGGAUAACUCCGGGAAACCGGGGCUAAUACCGGAUAACAUUUUGAACUGCAUGGUUCGAAAUUGAAAGGCGGCUUCGGCUGUCACUUAUGGAUGGACCCGCGUCGCAUUAGCUAGUUGGUGAGGUAACGGCUCACCAAGGCAACGAUGCGUAGCCGACCUGAGAGGGUGAUCGGCCACACUGGGACUGAGACACGGCCCAGACUCCUACGGGAGGCAGCAGUAGGGAAUCUUCCGCAAUGGACGAAAGUCUGACGGAGCAACGCCGCGUGAGUGAUGAAGGCUUUCGGGUCGUAAAACUCUGUUGUUAGGGAAGAACAAGUGCUAGUUGAAUAAGCUGGCACCUUGACGGUACCUAACCAGAAAGCCACGGCUAACUACGUGCCAGCAGCCGCGGUAAUACGUAGGUGGCAAGCGUUAUCCGGAAUUAUUGGGCGUAAAGCGCGCGCAGGUGGUUUCUUAAGUCUGAUGUGAAAGCCCACGGCUCAACCGUGGAGGGUCAUUGGAAACUGGGAGACUUGAGUGCAGAAGAGGAAAGUGGAAUUCCCAUGUGUAGCGGUGAAAUGCGUAGAGAUAUGGAGGGAACACCAGUGGCGAAGGCGACUUUCUGGUCUGUAACCUGACACUGAGGCGCGAAAGCGU
rnacentral:rRNA from 1 species